rnacentral:lncRNA from 1 species
UCUGUUUCAAAAUAUUUUAUAGGUUCCAAGAAGGCUUUACUUUUUGCUAUUGGUUUAUUCAAUAUGUUGUUCCACUAGAUUUGGCAACUUUUUAUAGAUCAGUGAGGAUCAUAAUCAGAACAGAGAUUAAUCCUCUUUGAUAUAUAUUAACAGGAACCUGGAGAAAUAGAAGCAGAAUUUGCAGAGAUUGGUACAGAAAGAGUUGUCAAGGAGUUCCUAACAUACAGGGCUCCGGGUCCAAUUUUGUUAACCAAAGGCAAACUAUUCGGACAUUCAGCAGAUACCCCAAUCAAAUUACCUUCUUGGUUGUCAGAGGAAGAAGUUGACUACUAUGUCGCUAAAUUUGACAAGAAUGGCGGUUUCACUGGUGGAAUCAACUAUUACCGAAACUUUGACAGGUAUAUGUUUCAAUUCUUUUUCCAACCUUAAUCUAGAUAAUUCUAAACACUAUAAAGUAACACGGAAACGUUAUCAUUUACAAUUUUAAUAGAAAUUGUAUAUGAUUUUGAGAAAAAUAAAAAAAUAUAUAUUUUGUGUUUGGUUUAUUAACACAAAUUUCACACGAUAAUUUUUUAUAUUUCACAUGUAUUUGAUACAACAUGAAUAAAAUACAUAUGUACCAACAAUUUAUGCAGUAUCUCAAGUUCGCUAUAUUUCUGUUUGGUUUUUGACAGAAAUUGGGAACUCUUGGCACCAUGGGUUGGUUGUGAGAUCAAAGUACCAGCUAAGUUCAUUGUGGGGGAUCAGGACCUGGUUUAUCACAUGCCUGGUAUCAAGGAAUACAUUCACAGUGGUGGGUUCAAGAAAGAUGUGCCACUUUUGCAGGAAGUAGUGGUAAUGGAAGGAGUUGGGCACUUUAUCAACAUGGAAAAAGCAGACGACAUAAACAAGCACAUUUAUGAUUUCUUCCGCCAGUUUGAUUGAUAUUUCAAGUCCUUCCCUGCUCUAUGUAUGUCAGCCUUCGUGUAAUAAAUUUGGCUACGAUCCAUGAUGUUCAACCAGCCUUUGUGUAAUAAUCUUAGACUGUCAUGCUGUUGGAAUUGUUUGUCGAAAUCGAUAUUGCCUUUUAUCUAUGGAUGAAAACGAAAAUUCAAAAGAACACCAGCUAGAAGUGGAAUUUCUUUUCCUUGUUAAAUUUCAUUAACUAUGAUAAUCAGCAUUACAAUAUAGGAAUAGCGGUGCACCAAGUAAGUAGAAGGUCCAGUUGAUGUUCAUAAGUUAAGGUCAUGGAUCAUAACAUGUUAAAAAUAAUUAACUAAUUUCGGUAGUUAAAAAUAGAGAUGUUUAUGAAUCAAGUCAUAUCUAAUUCACAGAAUAUCUCAAUUAUCUUAAAUGGAUGACACUGGGCUAUGUUUGAUGGAAAAUUUGAGGGAAAAAUGGAAUCCAUGGAUUUUAUUUUUUAACUGUUCGGUGAGAGUGAAAAUGUUAAGGAAAAUUUUAUUGAGGACAAUAAGGGCGAAAUUCUAUAAAAAUAUUUUCCCUCUUUCUGGUAAAAAAUUGAGAAAAAACAAGAGGGAAAAAAAAAAAAAGAAAGCUCCAUCAUUGUCUGUUUUGCAACUCCCUAAAAUCAAGAUCAAUAUCAAGCUCGGUUCUUAUCGACAUUGAAAGAGAUGGAUGCAGGUCGAGAGUUCAAGCUUCUUAUUAGGAAGAGUGGGGGCGUCGAAACCAAGAGAAAGAAGAAAAGUCAGGAAAAAUAAAGAGAAAAGGGAGAAAGGAAAGUUGAUUGAACGAAAGUUGAUCUGUAAUCUAAUUGAGCUGAAAUUUUAUCAACAUAUUUAUGAUAUAGAGUUUUAUAUUCUAAACAGUGAAGAUCGAAUUUAAAGCUCUUUAGGAAUAAAUUUAAGGUAUAUUUAUUGAGUCAUUUAUUUGGUGAGAUUUCUUCAAGUGUCUCUCUAAUUGUUGAUUAACUUUAGUUUUAAUUAGAGAGGAACUUUGUAUAUCUAUUAUUUGAUAGUAGAUAUUUUUUUUGUGAUUUGUGAUUUUUUCUCUCUACACCGGAGGAUUUUUUUACACAAAUCUUAGUGUGCUUUAUUUUUUUUACAUUGUUAAUUAUUAAUCAUUGUCUAUUAUUAUGGGUUUAUUGCGAUAUAUUUUUUUUGCAUUGUUGUAUUUAUUACUUCAGGCCCAACAAGUGAUAUUAAAGCUAAUGUUAUUUUGAGACAUCGAUACAAAAGCAGCCCAAGACAGAAAUAAAUUUUGUUUGAGAUCAUGAAGGGUGAUAUAGGUUUCAUGAUAAAAUUGACAACAUCAAAUUAUUCAAUUUGAAAGGUUAUGAUGGAAGAUCAUUUAUACUGCAAAGAUUUACAUAAGUUGGUAUUGGGUGAUUUAGCUAAACUAGCAAAUAUAAAAGAUGAACGUUAAAUGAAGUUAGACAGAAAGACACUAGCUACAAUAAAAAAUAGGUUGAUAUCAGUGUGUUCAAUCAUGUAGUGCAGGAAACAGAUGCUCACACUGUUUGAAAAAAAUUGACAGUAUUGUAUGAGAGAAAAACAUAUAUGAAUAAGUUAUGCUUGUUAAAAAGCUGGUAACUUUACAGUACAAGGAUAAACGAUUGAUUACAUAGCACUUUAGCGAUUUUCAUGAUAUAUUUAAUCGAAUGACUACUAUGGAGCUUAAGAUAGAUGUUGAAAUGAAGGCGUUGUUUUUUUGAGUUUAUUGCCAGAUGGCUGAAAUGUUCUAGUUGUGACUAUUUUUAAUUCAACUCCUGAUUACAAUGUGACAUUAGAGAUGGUAAAUGACAGUAUGCUUAAUAAAAAAAGUAAGAUGAAAAGAUUUAAAUUCUAAAAAUCAAGCUAUAAUCAUAGAUAACAGAGAUAGAAAUAUCGACAGAGAUUAAAACUCAAAAGAUCAUAGUAAGUCUAAACAUAGAUUAAAGUUCAGAGAUAAAAUAAAGUGCUUUCAUUAUGGUAAAGCAGAUCAUAUAAAGCAAUACUGCAAAAUCUUAAAGCAAGAGUGGAAAUAUGAGAAAAACAAGAGUUCAGAUGAUGACAAUGUUACAGCAGUGAAUUCAGAUAGUGAUUCAGUUACUUUGAUUUGUACACAUAGUGAUUAUAAUAAUGUUAGUGAUCUGACAUUGAGUGAAUAGUUGACACAUGAACAACAUAUCAUUGUAUUCCUAAGAGGGAGUAAUUUACAACUUACAAAGCAAGAGAUUUUAGUUGCACCAAGAUGGAAAACAAGAGUGUGUGAAAGAUUAUUGGGAUUGAUGAUAUUAUUGUACAAAUUAGUAUAGGCUACAUAUUGAUUUUGAAGGAUGUCAAACACAUUUCAGAUAUGAGAACGAACUUGCUUGCUAUUAAUGUCCUUGAUAAGAAAAGAUAUAAAAGUCGAUAAAAGAAUAAGAAGUUAAAGUUUCUCAAAAAAUCUAUGGUAGUUAUAAGGGGAAAACUAUGCUACAUAAUAUAUAAGACAUGAAUGGAAUUGAACGGGAACCAAUUAAAUACCAUUGAGGAUGAUGUUUCAGCAAACUUAUGGCAUAAGAAGCUAGAAAAGAGAUUACAGGUUUUGGCAAGAUAAUUUUUCAAUCUCUUGACCAAAGGUAUGUCUCUCAAUUCAUGUGAUCAUUAUUUGUUUGGCAAGUAUCAUUGAGUUUCUUUUCUUAAGAGUUCUCAGAGAAAAAAAUAUAAAUUGGAAUUGAUUCAUUCUGACAUAUAUGGUCUUAUUGAGGUUGAAUCAUUGGGCGGUAGCAGGUAUUUUGCUACUUUUAUUGAUGAUGUUUCAUGUAAGAAUUGGGUGUAUAUGUUGAAAAGCAAAAGUCAGGUAUUAUAGUAUUUUUAAAAAUUUUAUGCCAUGAUGAAAGAAUAACAAGGCUACCUUUUAAGUGUAUUUGAACUGAUAAUAGUGGAGAAUACACAUCCAAAUACUUUAAAGAGUAUUAUUCAAAGCAUAAAAUUAGGUAUAAGAUUACAGAAUCUGGAACACCGUAGCAUAAUGGUGUAGUUGAAAGGAUGAACCGACUAUUAUGAAAAAAGUCAGAUAUAUAUUAAGGAUGACAAAUUACCAAAACUAUUUUGGGGUGAAAUAAUCAACAUAGCUUGUUAUUUGCUUAAUAGAUCACCAUUAAUUCUUUUGCACUUCGACAUUCCAAAAAAAUAUGGACAGAAAAAGAUAUUUCAUACUCUCACUUGAAAAUUUUUUGGUGUAAAACAUUCAUACAUGUGCUGAAAAAACAAAGGUCAAAGCUUGAUAGUAAAGCCACACAGUGUGUGUUUAUAAGAUAUGGUGAUGAAAACUUUGGCUGUAGGAUAUGGGAUUUAGUGAAAAAAAAGACAGUCAAAAGUGGAGAUGUAAUUUUUCAUGAAAAAAAAACCAUGACAGACCUUGAAAAAAAUGAAAAAACUAUACAGGUUACUAUUGAGUCCAAGAAAAGAGCCACAGAUGGUGAAAAUAAGCAAGAGAUAAAACUUAAGGAUAUGAAUAAGCCCAUCACAAUUAGUGAUGAGCCAGAUGUAAUCAGUUUUGAGCAGGAUGAAUAAUUUUUUUUUGCUUAAGAAUGUUAAACAGAGUGAGCAGUUUUCUCCACCAAAGAGUGUUGAGCAAAGAGAGUUAUCUUCGGUAUCAGGUGGUGUAGAGUUUCAGCCUAAGAGAUCUAUUAAAGAGCACAAACCAUCUACUAGGUAUCCAAGUUUAGAUUUUAUUUUGGUUACUAGUGAGAGGAAGCUAGAGAGCUUCUAAGAUGUAUAGACUACUUUAGAUAGAAAACACUAGUUAAAAGUAAUAAAAGAAAAGAUGAAGUCAUUACAAAAAAAUGGUACAUAUGAUCUUUUUAAACUUUUGAAAGAAAAAAAUCAUUAAAGAAUAAAUAGGUGUUCAAGUUAAAAAAUAAUGGUGACAAACUAGUGAGGUACAAAGCUCGAUUGAUGUUAAAAGGUUUUUCUCAGAACCCAUGCAUCAAUUUUGAUGAGAUCUUCUUUCUAGUUGUGAAGAUGAGUUUCAUUCGAGUAGUACUAAGAUUAGUAGCUAGUUUGAAUUUUGAGCUUCAACAACUUGAUGUCAAAACUACAUUCUUGCAUGGUGACUUAUAGGAAGACAUUUAUAUAAAUCAGCCUAAGGAUUUUGAAGUGAAAGAGAAAGAGCACUUAGUUUGCAAACUGAAAAAAAGCUUGUAUGGAUUGAAACAAGCUUUACGACAAUGGUAUAAAAAGUUUAAUUCUUUUAUGGUGAGUCAUAACUAUAAAAGAACAAAGUGAAUCCUUGUGUAUAUGUCAAAAAAUUUCAUGAUGAUAACUUUAUUAUUCUCUUAUUAUAUGUUGAUGAUAUGUUGAUCGUGGGACAAGAUACUGGUAUAGUUCAUAAGUUGAAAAACAAUUGUCUAAGUUCUUUGACAUUAAAGAUUUAGGUCCAGCAAAGCAAAUUCUCAGUAUAGACAUUAUCCAGGAUAGGAAAGCUGAAAAGCUAUGGUUAUCACAGGAAAAAGUAUGUUGAAUGGGUGCUUAGUAUAUUCAACAUCCAACAUGCUAAAUCAGUUAGCAGUUCACUUACCAAUCAUUUUUAUCUAAGUAAAAAAUGUUGUUCAGUGACUAAGGAAGAGUAACUAGCUAUGUCUAGUGUUCUUUAUUCUUCUACAAUUACUUUUUUAAUGUAUCUUAUGAUUUGUACAUGGCCUGACAUUACUCAUGCAGUUGGUGUAAUAAUUAGAUUUCUUUUUAAUCCGAAAAAGGUUCAUUGGAAAGUAAUGAAAUGAAAUUUUAGAUAUUUGAGGGAUAUCUCAAAAAUGUGCUUGAGUUAUAAAAUUUUACAACCAGUUCUAGAAGGGUUUAUUGUGUUGAUAUGACAGGUGAUCUUGAUGGUAGGAAAUCUACUUCAGGAUAUUUAUUCACUUUUGUAGGAGAAGCUAUUUCUUGAUAGUCUAAGUUAUAAAAGUAUGUUACCUUGUCAACUACAGAGGUUGAGUAUAUUGUAGCAACUGAAGGAGAUAAAAAAAUGCUUUGGAUUCUUGAAUUGGGGUGAAUUAAAAAGAGUAUGUGAUGUUUUGUAAUAGUCAUAGUACUUUAGAUUUAAGUAAAAAUAUCAUGUACUAUGCUAAAAUAAAGCACAUUGAUAUUAGAUAUCAUUGGUUAAGUUCAGUGAUUGAGGAACAUCAUAUACUGUUAAAAAAAGUUCAUAUUUAUAAGAAUGUAACAGAUAUAUUGACUAAGAUACUUUUCAAAAAAAAGUUUGAGCUUUGCAGUAACUUCGUCGAAAUGGCUUCUUUAGUCAAGGUAAGUUCCAAAUGAAACUGUUAUGGGGAUGAAUCUCCUCCUAAUGGGGCUGGAGAAGGAGAUUGUUAGGAAUAGUGGAGUCUAACCCCGUUGGUUUUGGCUAAUUAAAGGGCCUAAAGUUUUUUUUUUUUUUGUCUUUAACCUAAGAGAACUCUACUUGUAUAAAACCUUAAACAAUAAAAUGGGGCUAUGUAAUAAAGAAACAGAAGGUGGUGGCACCGAAACUAAGAGAAAGAAAAAAAGCUAGGAAAAAUAGAAAGAAAAUGGAGAGUUAGUUAAACGAAAGUCGAUCCAUGAUCCAAUUGAAUUGAAAUUUUAUUAGUAGAUUUAUGAUUCAGAGUUUUACAUUUUAAGAGGUGAAGAUUGGGUUUGAAGCUCUUUAGAAACAAAUUCAUGGUGUAUUUAUUGAGUCAUUUAUUUGGUAAGAUUCUUCAAUUGUCCCUCUAGUUAUUAAUUAGCUUUAGUUUUAGUUAGAAAAAAAUUUUGUAUAUCCAUUAUUUUAUAGUAGAGAUUUUUUUUGUGGUCAAUAAUUUUUUUUCUCUACACUGAAAGAUUUUUCACGUAGAAUUUAGUGUGCUUUAUUUUUUUUAUGUUGUUGAUUAUUUAUUAUUGUUUGUUAUUAUAGAUUUAUUGUAAUAUAUUAUUUCUGCAUUGUUAUAUUUAUUACUUCAAACCCAACACUUCUAUGAAAAGCUAAAUCUCAGUUCUUAAACUCAUUUGCCCAUAGUUGAAAAAGGAAGAAGAACAAUGGGAAGAUUUUCCUAAAAAUUCCCAGGAACCAAACAAGGUCUUGUGAAUUAAUCAAUUAGAAAGUCGAUUUGCCAAGUAUCAUCAAUUACUAACGUUUAAUUAUAUGUAUAGAUAUAUGCAAGAUAUCUUAAAUUUAAUUGAUGUGGAAUUUUUAUUUAUAAAUUUUUUUUUUCAGAUUUGAGCCAUCAAAAUUUAAUUUUUGAUAACUAAAAUUAAAAUUUUAAUAUUUUAUCAACAUGAUCGGCUAAUUUUAUAGAAGUACCGGAUAUGGAAGACAAGAUAGAGGUUUGCAAGAAAGAAACCUUUCUUUUUCCUCUCUUUUUUAUAUCUAUACGCAUAAAAAAAAUUGAUAAGACAUGUUGACUCUUGAGCCGCUAAUGAAAGAGGCCGUUCAGUUCCAAUAUUCAUCAAUUAAAUUAUAUUAUCUUCUUUUCAAAUGAUUUGGAGCAGAGAUUUUUCAGUAUUGUUAGCGGCAGUAGUCUUUCAAAUAUAUAAAAGCUUAGCUAUAAGCAUAAGUAGUAUAAAAUUAAAAAAUUUUAUACUUUUUAAUGAUUGAUUUUAAUAAAUUUUUAAAAAAAUAAAUAUUUUUUACUUAUUUUUUAUUUCUUAAAUAUAUUAAAAUUAAUAAUUAAAAAAACUAUGUAAUAUAUAUUAUAUAUAAAAUGCAGAGGAGUGGUUGCUUUAUUUUAUUCUUGUGAUUUCCCUCGUUUUGCAUUCCCAUUGGGUUCCCAAUUGAACGAAGUACUCUGAAAAGUCAACCAGAUUAUUAAAUAUAUAUUUUAAAAUUAAUUAAUAGUAGAUAAAAUAUUUAAUUUGAAAAUAAAAUUAUAAAAAUUUUUAUAUUUAACAAAAAUACAAUGACAUUAAAUGAUAAGUUUAAAAAAGAUAAUAGAUAAAAGUAAUAAAACAGAAAAACAUAAUAAAACUUAGUAUCAUAUUAAGAAUCAACCCAAAAAUAAUUAAUAAUAAGUGAAAUGACGUAACUUAAACAUAAGAUCAAAAUAAAUUUAAUAUUUAAUAAAUAUAAAAUAAUAGCAAUUUAACAUUGAUGAUCAUCACUGGGUUUUUUUUUUUUUUUUCCAACGAGCAUUUUAAUGAUGAACGUAAAAUAGCAACAAAGGAGGUAACAGCUUUAGAAUAAAAAAAAGGGUUGAAAGUAUUAAAAUUUUUUUCCAGAUUUUCAUUUUCUUCCUUAACUGUCCACUUCCAAGAGGGAAACAACGACAGGAAAAUUGGAGCUUCCUUUUUAUUAUACGAUACCAGAUAACCUGGCUGUAAUAUUGUCCAUGGCUCCAGGGCUCCAUUUAUAUUCAUUCCGAAUAUUUCUCUGUACAUCUUGUAUCAUUAAUUCGGUCUAUAAGACUUAGCCUAAUAAAUUACUACUAAUUUUAUUAUUGUUCUAGCUCGUAGAGUUUUCGGCACAAUCACAUGCUCGCUCAAGAAACAGACGAGUCUAAUGCAGACAAUUUAACACUCUUGUUAGCCACGACAUUUAGCACAGCGGACAACCCAAGAAUCUUAAAAAGGAUAGUGCUAAAAAAAGAAGUUAGGGUGACAAACAAAGACGAGAAAGAAAAGUUGUUGAGUUGAGAGGCUGAAAGCUAAGAAAAUGGAAGGGAUAGAACACAAAAUAGUGAAGGUGAAUGGUAUAAACAUGCAUGUGGCAGAAAAAGGGAAAGGCCCUGUGAUUCUUUUCCUCCAUGGCUUCCCCGAGCUAUGGUACUCUUGGCGUCACCAGAUCAUUGCUUUGUCUUCCCUGGGCUACCGAGCUGUGGCCCCUGACCUGAGGGGCUUCGGUGACACGGAUGCCCCACAUCCAGUCACCAGUUACACGUGCUUCCAUAUACUGGGGGAUUUGGUUGAGCUCUUGGAUGUUGUUGCUCCGGACCAGGAGAAGGUUUUCGUAGUAGGACAUGACUUGGGCGCUUACAUGGCUUGGUAUUUGUGUUUGUUUAGGCCAGAGAAAGUGAAAGCUUUGUUGAAUUUGAGUGUGCCAUUCCUUCCAUUUACUCGACAAGUUAGACCCAUUGAUGGCUGGAGAGCUUUCUAUGGGAAUGAUUAUUACAUCUGCAGAUUUCAGGUUUUUGUGCCACACUUUUCUAUUGUCUGUUCAAAAUAUUUUAUAGGUUCCAAGAAGGCUUUACUUUUUGCUAUUGGUUUAUUCAAUUUGUUGUUCCACUAGAUUUGGCAACUUUUUAUAGAUCAGUAAGGAUCAUAAUCAGAACUGAGAUUAAUCCUCUUUGAUAUAUAUUAACAGGAACCUGGAGAAAUAGAAGCAGAAUUUUCAGAGAUUGGUACAGAAAGAGUUGUCAAGGAGUUCCUAACAUACAGGGUUCCGGGUCCAAUUUUGUUAACCAAAGGCAAACUAUUCGGACAUUCAGCAGAU